GGCUCAGUGGUCCAAUGUUAGAGCGCUCUUCGCGGAGCCAGAGGGUCCUGGGUUCGAUCCCCGACAGGGUCG
rnacentral:tRNA from 1 species